GACGAACGCUGGCGGCGUGCUUAACACAUGCAAGUCGAACGGAAAGGCCCUGCUUUUGUGGGGUGCUCGAGUGGCGAACGGGUGAGUAACACGUGAGUAACCUGCCCUUGACUUUGGGAUAACUUCAGGAAACUGGGGCUAAUACCGGAUAGGAGCUCCUGCUGCAUGGUGGGGGUUGGAAAGUUUCGGCGGUUGGGGAUGGACUCGCGGCUUAUCAGCUUGUUGGUGGGGUAGUGGCUUACCAAGGCUUUGACGGGUAGCCGGCCUGAGAGGGUGACCGGCCACAUUGGGACUGAGAUAGGGCCCAGACUCCUACGGGAGGCAGCAGUGGGGAAUAUUGCACAAUGGGCGGAAGCCUGAUGCAGCAACGCCGCGUGCGGGAUGACGGCCUUCGGGUUGUAAACCGCUUUCGCCUGUGACGAAGCGUGAGUGACGGUAAUGGGUAAUGAAGCACCGGCUAACUACGUG
rnacentral:rRNA from 1 species